rnacentral:rRNA from 1 species
ACAUCCAGAGACUUAGCAGAGAUGCUUUGGUGCCUUCGGGAACUCUGAGACAGGUGCUGCAUGGCUGUCGUCAGCUCGUGUUGUGAAAUGUUGGGUUAAGUCCCGNAACGAGCGCAACCCUUUAUCCUUUGUUGCCAGCGGUUCGGCCGGGAACUCAAAGGAGACUGCCGGUGAUAAACCGGAGGAAGGUGGGGAUGACGUCAAGUCAUCAUGGCCCUUACGGCCAGGGCUACACACGUGCUACAAUGGCGCAUACAAAGAGAAGCGACCUCGCGAGAGCAAGCGGACCUCAUAAAGUGCGUCGUAGUCCGGAUUGGAGUCUGCAACUCGACUCCAUGAAGUCGGAAUCGCUAGUAAUCGUAGAUCAGAAUGCUACGGUGAAUACGUUCCCGGGCCUUGUACACACCGCCCGUCACACCAUGGGAGUGGGUUGCAAAAGAAGUAGGUAGCUUAACCUUCGGGAGGGCGCUUACCACUUUGUGAUUCAUGACUGGGGUGAAGUCGUAACAAGGUAGGCGUAGCGAG